GGUUUAACUUGAGCAGCAAUUGUUUUUAUUCAAGAACAAUAAGUGAAAAAACAACAAACAAAUGCGGGAAUCGCCUUCAAACGACAAGAGAAGAAGACGACGUCGUGUCGCGGCAGUUGGGUAUCAAAACGCGACCGAAAACGACAAUUUGAAGAAAAUGAGAAUUCCGAACAGCGUAAACGCCGAUGGCAAGAUAAGAAGCUGACGAAACUUGCGUUUAAGAGCGACGUAGGAAACUCGACGGAGAAGAAUCUGAGACGACAUCCAGAUGGGCAGCUAUACACAUAGACAAGUGUGUGCACAUGAAUUGAAGACGACAAAAUUAGAGAAUGAUGUUACACAACACACAGUAGCUGAACGACAAGAAAAAUUAACGGAGCUUAAGUUGCAAAGUACAGGCGUUAAAGAAGCCAUACAGAAGAGAUUUGAUUCGUAUUUUGAUCAAGUUUCAGAGAGUAUAGAAGGUUAUAUAUACGAAGAAACAGAAACUUGGAGUCACUUGGAGUAACAAGUUAUCGACCUGUAACCAUGCGUAGUUAGUUUUGAACAGUCAAAAUAACUUAAAUGAUUGGAAUUAUUUGAAGGAAGAAACAGGUGCACAAGUUACUAGACACUUGGAAGAAGAUCCAUACGGAAACUUAAACAGAAUAUUUCUAUAGUAUGACCACGCUGGCAAAACAAUCCAAUUUGAAAGAAAAAGUAUUAUAGAAUAUAUUAUUGAGGGCAUUCCGGACUUAAAACAAAAGAAAGGAUGUCUGUCCCAUGCAACCGCGAAAAAAUAAAUAUAAAAAACUGAUUCCGGCACCUAAGGGAGCUACGCGGAGGACAACAGGCUGGUCCACCAAACUCGCAAGCCCGUCAGCCGUGGCCCGGCUAAUCUCAUCGAUGCGAGAAGGAUCCUUCCAAGAGAGCCUGUCGACGACUACCGGCUUUUUUUUGCCUCGUCGCUGACACCAAAAGUGGACCAGGAGGCGAAAGGCAACGGGGAGACCACGCCCACAUCAACCAUAUCACGAACAGCGAGGGAAAGACCCAAAAGUUAUUGCAUUUGCCCAGUUAAUAUAAAAUCUUGCCUGCACGAACAAUACACAGAUACAUACAUACUUUGAAAUAUCCCUUUAUAUCGGCCCUUACCGCCCCCAGAGAGCUCUUUAGACAGGGUAAGGAAGAUAAAGCGAUUUCACACAUAAAUUACCUUCUGCACGAGUGAUUAUUGUAGCAUACACUGUUAUAGUAUGUUUAUUUGCGUGGGUAUCUUGUUCCUCAUUAGUGAAGAGCACCCACUUGCAUCUUUAAAUGUAUACUCCUGCGGCAACCGUCAAUAGCAUUUGGCCAGUUUCUCCGCUUGUUCCUGAUCUUGCGAAAAAUUUGUUGAAAUGUAUUUGGUAAAAAAAAAUGAAACUUUAGAUAUCAAUAUUAUUGUAAUAGCCUCCGAUUAUACGUAACUGGUACAAGGACUCAUGUUCGGUUGAGUUUGUUGAUAGUGGGGAGGGGAAUGUCCGCGUCGAUCGGAUAAUUGCCGUCUUAAAUUAAAGGGUGGUGACAUAUUAACAAAUUUUUAGUACCACAGGUACUGUGCGAUUGUUCGGGUCGGUUGGUACGGGGAUACCCCCCUAAUGAAAGUACUGGCCGGCAGUGUCCCUCGACUAACAAACCGGCACGUAACAAUAUGACUAUAAUAAUGAAAAAUGUAGUAGACGAAAUAGGGAAAGUAAUAAACGUAAUGGUAUUAUAAAUAUGAAACGCAAAGCGAAAGAAUUUCUGUAUAUAUGUGCAAACAUAUAUAUUCAUAUGGGAGUCUCUUUUUUUGUUUUUGUUUAAUUCUAUGUUAUAUAAUGCAUCGCAAUUGAGAAUGUAUUGCAUUCUGUGCAGUGUGUAUGUGUAUUUGUUUUAAUUCAGUUUAUUUCGUUGAAACUAAAUUCUUAAUAUGGAUGUGAAGCAUAAGCAUUAACCAAAGAGCAUAUAGAUGUGACAUGCCGUUCAAGAAAUGUGGGCACUAAAAAAUCGGUGACAUCUAGUCCAAAAAAAGGGUAAGAUGUACAUAUGAUGUCUUUUAUUCGCUUACACUACAGGAAACUGUUUUGGCUUACUCUCUUCCAUAUGAUUUGUGCGAGAGAACGGCAUCGCUGUUUAUUUUUAUC